AGAAAGAAGGAUGAGUUAGACUGCAACAAGACAAACAUCUUGAAAUCUAAACCCCCUUCCAAAAAAUCAGCUGGGACCAUUAUCAUUGAUGGAUUUCCAUUGGGAACAACCCUGCAUGUAUUACCCAAGAUUCGACGUGAAGUGGGUUACGUAGAGAUAUGCCAGAGCCUCCUCCCUCCCCUGCCUCGUUGUGCCUGUUUAAGGUUUGUAUCAAUGUUUAAAAAAUUUGUAACUAUAUGUAGGCAUGGAUGUUAACUAGAUUUGUUGUGGUGAUAAUUUCCCUAGACAUACAAAUAUGGAAUCUUUAUGUUGAACGCCUGAAACUAAUAUAAUGUUA
rnacentral:lncRNA from 1 species